UUAAGUGAUAGAUUAAAGUGAUAAUGUUUACUUCAUUAAUUAAUUGAGAUUUGAGUAGAACAAUGUGUAUAUUAUGAAUUUAUUGGAUUGGUUUAAAUAGUUCGUAAUAUGAUGAGACAGAAUGAAUAUUUAAUUAGUAACUUGUUUUUUUUUCUAAAAGAGAGGGAACUUUUAUCUUUAUAUCCGUGGGUCGAUAAACAAUGGCAUGCCCUCCCAUAUCCCUUUUAUAUAUAUUUUGCCAAACAACAAAAACACACGUAAAACAUACACAGAAUUGCUUAUGCACGUAGCUGUUUCAGCCAUUUUUCUUUGCGGCGUAUUUGCCAAAUUGUUUUUCUUCAAUACCUUUUUCACUCUUUUGGUGAGAACUGAGAAACCAUGCAAGUAGCUCUGUAUUCAAAUUAUUAGAUUGAGUUGAAACUUGAAGCCCUACCUUUUUUGAUUUUAUCGGAGCCCAUACAAAGUGGGGCUAGAAGAUUUUGAGAAGAAAAAACUUAAAUUAUGGUGAAGGAAGCGAAAGAUUUAUCAAUACCCACAACCCAUCGGUGCUUAAUUGUGGGGAAUUACUGUCAUGAUGUUCUGAUCAAAGACGACGUCGUAAUAGCGGAGUCACUCGGCGGAGCAGCGUCGUUUCGUGCUUGACGGUUUGUCGGUUUCUUCCGACUACAUUUCUAAAGUGGGUAAUGAUUUUAUGUACUCUGUUAAUCAUCAGCCGAUCACUUCGUCCUCUUCCAAAACCACCGUUUUCCACGCCCAUUUCUCAACCGAGAGCAAACGGCAAGAUUGGAUCCUAAAAAGGGUCGUUGCAUGUGACUUGGUAACUCCCUCGGAUCUCCCGAACUCAAAAUUUGAUUUUGGAUUGGCUGUAGGUGUUGGUGGGGAGAUUUUGCCCGAAACCCUUGAGCGGAUGAUUGAGAUGUGUGAGGUGGUGUUUGUUGAUAUCCAAGCUUUAAUUCGGGUAUUCGACCCGGUUGAUGGAACAGUGAAUCUUGUGCAUUUGAAUCAAACCGGGUUUUGGCUUUUGUUGGAAAGAAUUGUUUUUUUGAAGGCGUCGGCGGAGGAGGCACCAUAUGUGGAUGUGGAGGAAGCAAGGAAAUGGUGUUGUGUGGUGGUGACAAAAGGGAAAGAAGGGUGUACCGUGUAUUCUAAAGAUGAAGAAUUGUCCGUUGCGCCUUUUCCAGCUUAUCAAGUUGAUCCAACAGGAGCUGGUGAUAGCUUUCUUGGAGGUUUAGUUGCAGGGCUUGUUCAUGGAUUGGCAAUACCAGAUGCUGCAUUGCUGGGGAACUUUUUCGGAUCACUGACUGUAGGGCAUAUUGGGCUUCCCAAGUUCGACUCGCGGAUGGUACAGUAUAGGGAGUCCGGAGUUCUAUUAUGGAGAGGGUUUACCAUUCAAGAAUUUGCCAAUCAGUUGUUUGGAAACAAAAACGAUUAUGGAAAAGGCAGGCAGAUGCCUGUCCAUUAUGGAUCUAAUAAGCACAAUUAUAUUACUGUUGCAUCAACAGUAGCUACUCAGCUUCCACAUGCUGUUGGUGCUGCAUAUGCUCUAAAGAUGGACGCGAAAAAUGCAUGUACAAUUGUAUAUUUUGGAGAUGGAGGCUCUAGUACGGGAGAUUUUCAUGCUGCUCUGAACUUUGCCGCCGUGUUAGAUGCACCAGUUAUCUUUUUCUGCCGGAACAAUGGUUUUGCAAUAAGCACACCUGUUAAUGAGCAGUUUCAAAGUGAUGGUGUGGUUACCAAAGGACAGGGCUAUGGAAUUCGUAGUAUUCGUGUGGAUGGUAACGAUGCUCUUGCUGUUUUCACCGCUGUCCAUGAGGCACGAAAAAUGGCUGUUAAUGAACAUAAACCUGUUCUAGUUGAGGCUCUUACUUAUAGAGCAGGACAUCAUUCAACCUCAGAUGACUCAACCAAAUAUCGUCCAGCUAACGAAAUCGAAUGGUGGAGAACAGCAAGAGACCCUGUAAGCAGAUUUAGGAAAUGGAUUGAAAGGGAAGGCUGGUUGAACUCUCAGGUUGAAUCCGAACUUUGCAGUAAUAUCAGGAAGCAGAUAAAGGUGAGACUUUGAGUUGGGGUGGGGGACAAUCAGGAAGACUUGGUCAUGGACAUCAAUCAGGCAUUUUUGGACUCUUAAAAAGUGACAGUGAAUACGCACCACGACUUAUUAAGGAACUUGAGGGGUUGAAG